UGGGGAAUAUUGGACAAUGGGCGAAAGCCUGAUCCAGCAACGCCGCGUGAGGGAUGACGGCCUUCGGGUUGUAAACCUCUUUCAGCAGGGACGAAGCGAGAGUGACGGUACCUGCAGAAGAAGGACCGGCCAACUACGUGCCAGCAGCCGCGGUAAUACGUAGGGUCCGAGCGUUGUCCGGAAUUAUUGGGCGUAAAGGGCUCGUAGGCGGUUUGUCGCGUCGGGAGUGAAAACUCAGGGCUCAACCCUGAGCGUGCUUUCGAUACGGGCAGACUAGAGGGAUGCAGGGGAGAACGGAAUUCCUGGUGUAGCGGUGGAAUGCGCAGAUAUCAGGAGGAACACCGGUGGCGAAGGCGGUUCUCUGGGCAUUUCCUGACGCUGAGGAGCGAAAGCAUGGGGAGCGAACA
rnacentral:rRNA from 1 species